GCAGGGCCUCUUGGAAGGACCUCCUCACCGUGCCCACCCACUGAGACAUGUGCGUCUGGGCCACCGAAAGCUUGUCACCCAGGCAUCCGCGGGUCACAAAACAGGGACAGUGACGGGUCAGCUCGGGGCCACCAGGAGCAUCAAGUCAACCAACCAGGACGUCCAGUUCUAGUCCCCAGGGCCAGCCCUGCUGAAUUCAAGGAGCAGGAAGCUGUGAGGAGCUGGGCCAGGGGGCUGGCACCCCAAACUCACUUCCCUCCAUGCAGGUGAGGAAAUGCCAGCUCUGAGAGGUAGAUUCAUUGGUCCAAGGUAAAGCUAUCAAGGUUUGCUUGAAAAUGCCUCCCUCUCCACUGCUGUGUGAUAGGUCUGACCUGCAACUUGUCUACUGUGAGGGCUCAAAAAUAUUGACUUUUCAAAAGCCAGGCCAAAUCCAAGGUUGAAAUCCACAUCAGCCCAACUGCCUGGUGUGAUCUCUGUACCACCCCCUCACCUCUGUCCUGAAAAAAUAUUUGCUCUCUAGACACCAGA